GACACUAUGGCCGAGCGGUUAAGGCGUGUGACUAGAACUUGUUCCAGUUAUCACAUCUCUUCGGAGGCAUCGGUUCAAAUCCGAUUGGUGUCG
rfam:Fonsecaea pedrosoi CBS 271.37 unplaced genomic scaffold supercont1.1, whole genome shotgun sequence.